rnacentral:rRNA from 1 species
GCUAAACGCGAAGAACCUUACCUACACUUGACAUCCCUCUUGGGGCUUUCAGAGAUGAUUGCUUUCGGUUCGGGACAGAGGAGACAGGUGGUGCAUGGUUGUCGUCAGCUCGUGUCGUGAGAUGUUGGGUUAAGUCCCGCAACGAGCGCAACCCCUGCCUGCUGUUGCCACGCGGAGGAGCAAUCCUGCCGGGGACGUCUGCAGGGACGUGCCGGUCGAUAAACCGGACGGAAGGUGGGGACGGACGUCAAGUCAUCAUGGUCCUUACGUCCAGGGCUACACACGUGCUACAAUGGUCGGGACAAACCGCAGCGAGCCCGUGAGGGUGAGCGAAUCGGAAAAACCCGGUCCAAGUUCGGAUUGCAGUCUGUAACUCGACUGCAUGAAGUUGGAAUCGCUAGUAAUCGUGGAUCAGCUACGCCACGGUGAAUCCGUUCCCGGGUCUUGUACACACCG